GCAGGUACAGCUCAGUGGCAGAGCACGUGCUUAGCACGCACAAGCUCCUGGGUUCAACUCCUAGAACCUCCA
rnacentral:tRNA from 1 species